GCGCGGGUGGCGAAAUUGGUAGACGCACCAGGUUUAGGUCCUGACGCUCGCAAGAGCGUGCCGGUUCGAGUCCGGCCCCGCGCA
rnacentral:tRNA from 3 species